CUACCAUGCAGUCGACGAUGAGCCUUUCGGGGUGGAUUAGUGGCGAACGGGUGAGUAACACGUGGGCAAUCUGCCCUUCACUCUGGGACAAGCCCUGGAAACGGGGUCUAAUACCGGAUAACACUCUGUCCCGCAUGGGACGGGGUUAAAAGCUCCGGCGGUGAAGGAUGAGCCCGCGGCCUAUCAGCUUGUUGGUGGGGUAAUGGCCUACCAAGGCGACGACGGGUAGCCGGCCUGAGAGGGCGACCGGCCACACUGGGACUGAGACACGGCCCAGACUCCUACGGGAGGCAGCAGUGGGGAAUAUUGCACAAUGGGCGAAAGCCUGAUGCAGCGACGCCGCGUGAGGGAUGACGGCCUUCGGGUUGUAAACCUCUUUCAGCAGGGAAGAAGCGAAAGUGACGGUACCUGCAGAAGAAGCGCCGGCUAACUACGUGCCAGCAGCCGCGGUAAUACGUAGGGCGCAAGCGUUGUCCGGAAUUAUUGGGCGUAAAGAGCUCGUAGGCGGCUUGUCACGUCGGAUGUGAAAGCCCGGGGCUUAACCCCGGGUCUGCAUUCGAUACGGGCUAGCUAGAGUGUGGUAGGGGAGAUCGGAAUUCCUGGUGUAGCGGUGAAAUGCGCAGAUAUCAGGAGGAACACCGGUGGCGAAGGCGGAUCUCUGGGCCAUUACUGACGCUGAGGAGCGAAAGCGUGGGGAGCGAACAGGAUUAGAUACCCUGGUAGUCCACGCCGUAAACGUUGGGAACUAGGUGUUGGCGACAUUCCACGUCGUCGGUGCCGCAGCUAACGCAUUAAGUUCCCCGCCUGGGGGAGUACGGCCGCAAGGCUAAAACUCAAAGGAAUUUGACGGGGCCCGC
rnacentral:rRNA from 1 species